rnacentral:lncRNA from 1 species
AUGCCACCGAAGUUCAACCCUAAUGAGAUCAAAGUCGUAUACCUGAGGUGCACCGGAGGUGAAGUCAGUGCCACUUCUGCACUGGCCCCCAAGAUCGGCCCCCUGGUCUGUCUCCAAAAAAGGUUGGUGAUGACAUUGCCAAGGAAACAGGUGACUAGAAGGGCCUGAGGAUUACAGUCAACCUGACCAUUCAGAACAGACAGACCCAGAUUGAGGUGGUGGCUUCUGCCUCUGCCCUGAUCAUCAAAGCCCUCAAGGAAGCACCAAGAGACAGAAAUUAAUAGAAAAACAUUAAACACAGUAGGAAUAUAACUUUUGAUGAGAUCGUCAACAUUGCUUGACAGAUGCGGCACUGAUCCUUAGCCAGAGAACUCUCUGGAACCAUUAAAGAGAUCCUGGGGACUGCCCAGUCUGUGGGCUGUAAUGUUGAUGGCCACUACCCUCAUGACAUCAUAGAUGACAUCAACAGUGGUGCUGUGGAAUGCCCAGCCAGU